AGGUUUUCGAAUCUAUUUGAGCUAAAUUUGUGACCUUGGGGGCUGGUUUAGAAGGUGUUUCAACCAGGGUGAGAGUGCAAUCGACCCUUGGAUCGUCUUCGGCUGACUUGUGAGAGCUUUUGGAGGUUGAACUUGAGGAUUGAGGCCCAGUUGAGCUGAUUUUCGGGACUCGCUUGGGCUGGUUCGAGCUUAGUACUAAGUACUUUCACCUAGAUUGAAUAGUAGAUUCGACUGUUCUCUCAAUCUAGGGGACUUGAAGGCAUCGGAUUUACCACGAGUGUGAAUUCUCCGACAAGGGUUGUCGACUUAUAGAGCCACCUACAGGAGAGGCUAGGGAUCACGGCAAGGGAAUCGCGUCUAGCUAGACCUAGCUUGCGGUUUUACUAGGUGAUCACCUUGCUACUCAUGCCACGGCCGAGGGUGAUGUACCCGUGUAUAGAGAGACUAUCAUUGUAUAUGUAUUUUGAGUAGCCCUGUGAUGUAUGUGAUUAGUUGACUCGGGGAUUAUAGUUUGAUACUUCUCUAUGAUGUUGAG